CACCGAGCCGUGUAUAACUAUAAUACCCAGCCGCCACGACAGCGUGCCCACAAACCCAACUCCUCUCGCUCUCUCCCCGUCUGCCCCUCUCUUGACGACCUCUUCCCAAAUGAAGCGCCCGCAACCGCAACAAGCUGCUGCGGAGCAGAUCAUGGCGCUGUACGACGCCUGCUGGUUCCGCCGCCUCGUGCUGCUCGCUUCCCCUCCUCCCGCGGCGGCACCUCGGCCAUCUGUACCGGCGCAGCAGGCGCCGGUGGAGCGCGACGAGUUGGGUACUACGCACACGCCGCAUGCGCAGCGGCCUGCUUCUUCGAGUCCCACGGCCGGCGGGCUGCGGCACCGGCGAACGCGGAGCGACGAGGCUACCGCGGCCGCGUUCCUGGGCAUGGAGCCGCUGAGGCUCCCCGACAGAGGCAACCGCGCGCGCCUCCAGACCAUACUCUCGGGCAAAGACGGGCUCGUGGCCGCGCCGCCGCCGGAACGGAGAAGGCCCGGGCCCGGGAGGCGGCGGCAGCGGCGGCGCGGGCGGAGCAUGUCGGAGCUGGAGUUCGAGGAGGUCAAGGGCCUGCAGGACCUCGGCUUCACCUUCGCCGACGCCGAGGUGGACGCCGAGCUCGCGUCCAUCGUGCCGGGCCUAAGGAGGAAGCGGUCCGAGGAGGACAACAACAGCCGGGCCACGGCGGCGUCGACGUCUUCGGCCCGGCCGGAAGCUGCCGACGACGCGUCCGUGGCCGCCGUCGUGGCGCCGAGGCGGCCGUACCUCUCGGAGGCGUGGGACAGCGAGGAAGAAGAAGAGGUCAGGAGGGCGCUGCGCAGCUGGCGGAUACCGCCGGCUGGCGACGGCAACGAGCUCAAGGAGCACCUCCGGAUGUGGGCGCACACCGUGGCCUCCGCUGUCCGGUGACAGAAUCAACUUCUCUUUUCCUCCUCCUUUUUUUUAAUUGAUCACAAAACGCCAUUGGAGGUUGUCAGUUCGGUGACAGAUCGAAGUUUUGAGCAUGUAUAAAUAUGUGACCAAUAUUCGCAUGGGCAUCUAUAUCCAAGUUAUUAUUAUGAGCAUGUACAUGUACGUUUAUAUACAUAGUGGAAACACGAGAAGUGCAAUCCUUGUGCAGGAAGCAUAGCCAUAGCACGAAAUGAACAUGUGGCAAAAAAAAAGGGACAUGGGAGAGAGAGAUGAUCUCAUUUGCGCGCGCGCGGCAUGAGAUGCGAUCUCAUCUGAUUUCUGGCCACUGUUUGCCAAGAAAAGCAUCGUGUGGCUAGCUUGCUUUGAAGCUAAGGGUUCCAUAAUUCCACGAGUCAUGAUGGCAAGCCCAACAAUGAUGUGUUUGGAACAAUCUAGGUUUCCUGGCAGCUGACUUGUCAAAAUCCAGCGUGGUACGUGACAGAAAAGCUCUAGCUCCCCCUCCUCCUUAUUGGUCCUGAGUCAGCAGCUGCCCCUGCUGCUGCCUUUUUUUCUUCGUUCCACUAACUACAAUGUGCCCACAAACCCAACUCCUCUCGCUCUCUCCCCGUCUGCCCCUCUCUUGACGACCUCUUCCCAAAUGAAGCGCCCGCAACCGCAACAAGCUGCUGCGGAGCAGAUCAUGGCGCUGUACGACGCCUGCUGGUUCCGCCGCCUCGUGCUGCUCGCUUCCCCUCCUCCCGCGGCGGCACCUCGGCCAUCUGUACCGGCGCAGCAGGCGCCGGUGGAGCGCGACGAGUUGGGUACUACGCACACGCCGCAUGCGCAGCGGCCUGCUUCUUCGAGUCCCACGGCCGGCGGGCUGCGGCACCGGCGAACGCGGAGCGACGAGGCUACCGCGGCCGCGUUCCUGGGCAUGGAGCCGCUGAGGCUCCCCGACAGAGGCAACCGCGCGCGCCUCCAGACCAUACUCUCGGGCAAAGACGGGCUCGUGGCCGCGCCGCCGCCGGAACGGAGAAGGCCCGGGCCCGGGAGGCGGCGGCAGCGGCGGCGCGGGCGGAGCAUGUCGGAGCUGGAGUUCGAGGAGGUCAAGGGCCUGCAGGACCUCGGCUUCACCUUCGCCGACGCCGAGGUGGACGCCGAGCUCGCGUCCAUCGUGCCGGGCCUAAGGAGGAAGCGGUCCGAGGAGGACAACAACAGCCGGGCCACGGCGGCGUCGACGUCUUCGGCCCGGCCGGAAGCUGCCGACGACGCGUCCGUGGCCGCCGUCGUGGCGCCGAGGCGGCCGUACCUCUCGGAGGCGUGGGACAGCGAGGAAGAAGAAGAGGUCAGGAGGGCGCUGCGCAGCUGGCGGAUACCGCCGGCUGGCGACGGCAACGAGCUCAAGGAGCACCUCCGGAUGUGGGCGCACACCGUGGCCUCCGCUGUCCGGUGACAGAAUCAACUUCUCUUUUCCUCCUCCUUUUUUUUAAUUGAUCACAAAACGCCAUUGGAGGUUGUCAGUUCGGUGACAGAUCGAAGUUUUGAGCAUGUAUAAAUAUGUGACCAAUAUUCGCAUGGGCAUCUAUAUCCAAGUUAUUAUUAUGAGCAUGUACAUGUACGUUUAUAUACAUAGUGGAAACACGAGAAGUGCAAUCCUUGUGCAGGAAGCAUAGCCAUAGCACGAAAUGAACAUGUGGCAAAAAAAAAGGGACAUGGGAGAGAGAGAUGAUCUCAUUUGCGCGCGCGCGGCAUGAGAUGCGAUCUCAUCUGAUUUCUGGCCACUGUUUGCCAAGAAAAGCAUCGUGUGGCUAGCUUGCUUUGAAGCUAAGGGUUCCAUAAUUCCACGAGUCAUGAUGGCAAGCCCAACAAUGAUGUGUUUGGAACAAUCUAGGUUUCCUGGCAGCUGACUUGUCAAAAUCCAGCGUGGUACGUGACAGAAAAGCUCUAGCUCCCCCUCCUCCUUAUUGGUCCUGAGUCAGCAGCUGCCCCUGCUGCUGCCUUUUUUUCUUCGUUCCACUAACUACAAUGUGCCCACAAACCCAACUCCUCUCGCUCUCUCCCCGUCUGCCCCUCUCUUGACGACCUCUUCCCAAAUGAAGCGCCCGCAACCGCAACAAGCUGCUGCGGAGCAGAUCAUGGCGCUGUACGACGCCUGCUGGUUCCGCCGCCUCGUGCUGCUCGCUUCCCCUCCUCCCGCGGCGGCACCUCGGCCAUCUGUACCGGCGCAGCAGGCGCCGGUGGAGCGCGACGAGUUGGGUACUACGCACACGCCGCAUGCGCAGCGGCCUGCUUCUUCGAGUCCCAC
rnacentral:lncRNA from 1 species